GUUCGCAAGGAGCAAUGCUUCUAACAUUAUGAACCAGAUUUUAAAGUUUGCAAAGAGGAUGGUUAGGAAACUACCUUUGAAAUGGCUGCUUGCUCAACAAGAAAUCCAGAAGUUGAAAGUGGAACAUAUCUAUUUACCAACCAAAGAGAUGAUCGCUUUAGUUCAGCGUUGUGGGGUCAAAAUAGAUGCCCAAAUGGUGCUACUUGAGUAUUUACACGACCUUGGCGAGAUUCUCUACUUUCCUGAUGACGACGCCUUAAAGGACAUUAUUGUUUUAAAUCUGAUGAAAAUAGUUGACAUGUUUAAAACAAUAAUAACCGUUAUUGAUCCAAAGUUUAUGGAAACAAAGCACAGAAAGGCCUGGAGAAGAUUGGACUCAGGGGUCCUAGAGGAGCAUCUGUUAAGACACCUCUGGAAGGACUUCAAUUUUUCAGAAGAGAUGUUUGACUUCUUUGUAUCUCUCAGUCUCAUGCAGAAAUUUGGACUGGGUGGUGAAUGUAUUUUCUAAGUUCUUUCGCGCUUGAAGCCUAAACGAAUAGAUGCCACUCAAACUAACAAUUACGGGAUUCGCACAGUUUCAAUCUUUCAUGACUGUGGUCGCUAUCUACCUGACGAUCUUUUCCAGCGUGGAGUAACUAAGUUCAUUGAGAGAUUCCAAGUAAAAGACGAUGAGCCUACAUUAUCUUAUGAGCAUGUGGAAUUGGGUUAUCUAUGAACUUCAUCACAUGGUUUUGAGUGUAGCCUCAAUCAAGCAUCGUUACAACAAUCAUCAGACGAAAAAUCUUCAAUGCCGCUCAGCUUACCCAGGAAGAUGAACCAUCGCCGAUAGUAUGUACGAAGGUGUUGAUAUUCCUCGAAACAGAACUAAAGAUAUUUUGUCAGAGCGGUGCAAGGGGCGUGGAAUUAACAAGGUACAUUGCUUGCGAUUGUAGGAACGCUCACAUGCAUAUUGCCAUGUGGAAGCAAUGGAAUGGAAGUGACGCGCUACCGCCGACUAUUUGAAGAUGAGGUCCAAC
rnacentral:misc_RNA from 1 species